CCCAAAGUCACACAGCUGACGGAGCCAGGAUUAGAACCUGUGACCUCUGACUCCUAAGCUCGUGCUCUUUCUACUGACACACUGCUUCUCUAGACACAAGCUAGUAAGGUUGGACAAAGUCCAUGUCUCAUGUGGGGCUCACAGUCUCAAUCCCCACUUUACAGAUGGGGUAACUGAGGCACAAACAAAUUGACUUAAUCAAGGUCACACAGCAGAUAUGGGGCAGAGCUGGGAUCAGAACCAGGUCUUAUGAGUCCUCAGCCUCUUUUAUUUCCCCUAGGCCAUGCUUGCCACGUUACUUAUUUGUCUACAUUUGGAAGCACCCUUUUGUUAACUAUUUUACAUGCUUGAAGCUUAUAUUUGCUUUGGGACAAGAAACUAUACAAGAGAAAGACAGCUCAGAGCACUGGCUAAAGACUUGUAGAUUUUCUCUGCAGUCACAACACCAGGGAAGAAUUAAAACCAUUGAGAAGAAACCUCUGCCUGCUGCUGAAAUAGAAGACUCCCAACUAGCACCCCUGGAAUUGAAAGACUGCACCAUUGGGGCUGGAGGAGAAAUUGUCCCUACAAAGAGUGCUUAGGAACUCUGUACAAUAAUAUUUAAAUCAAAAUCAUUUUCUCCCUGCUAAUUCCCUAAAGGCUACCUGUUCUAUUGAAGACUGGACUGAAGUCAAUUCAUUGUCUUCCCAUCCCAAAUGAGGGGAGAGAGCAUUUGUUCACCAUCAUUAUACACAACUAGACUGUACUGUGAGCUUGUGUAGGCAGGGAUUGUCUCUUUAUUGCUGUAGCACAGUUUCCCAACUGCUUAGUACAGUGUUCUGCACACAGUAAGCACUCAAUAAAUACAAUUGAAUGAAUGAGUGAACUAUGCCAUAUUGAAGACUGUGGUCUGUUCUCUCGUAAUGUGUGUUUUCACUGUGCAUCUUGAUAUAACACUAUUGUAGAAUUGUAGAAAGUUAUUUAUUGCGAUUACGUUGUCUUGUUUCUGUCUGUCUCCCCCGAUUAGACUGUAAGCCUGUCAAUGGGCAGGGAUUGUCUCUGUCGCCGAAUUUACAUUCCAAGUGCUUAGUACAGUGCUCUGCACAUAGUAAGCGCUCAAUAAAUACUAUUGAAUGAAUGAAUUGGGCUUUUAUUUCCUCCCCUCAAGACAAGACUGUAAACCUGUUAUGUGCAGGGAACAUGUCUGCUAAUUCUGUUGCAUUGUACUCUCCCAAGUGCUUAGUAAAGAACACUGAUUACUGAUUACUGCAUCCGCAUCCUUUAUCAACUGCCAACCUCCUGUCUCUCUUCACUUCACUCCACUGCCUGGAUUAUUUUUCUACAGAAACGCUCUGGGCAUGUCACCCACUCCUUAAAACCUUCAGUGGUUGCCCAUCAACCUUCAAAUCAAGCAAAAACUCCUCACCAUUGGCUUCAAAGUUCUCCAUCACCUUGCCCCCUCCUACCUCACCUCCUUUCUCUCCUACAGCCCAGCCCGCACACUCUGCUCCUCUGCCGCUCACCUCCUCACUGGGCCUCGUUCUCGCCUGUCCCGCCAUCGACCCCUGGCCGAUGUCCUACCUCUGGCCUGGGAUGCCCUCCCUCCUCACAUCCGCCAAACGAGCUCUCUUCGCCCCUUUAAAGCCCUACUAACAGCUCACCUCCUCCAGGAGGCCUUCCCAGGCUGAGCCCCCCUUUUCCUCU
rnacentral:lncRNA from 1 species